CCUACGGGAGGCAACAGUGGGGAAUAUUGCACAAUGGGGGAAACCCUGAUGCAGCGACGCCGCGUGAGUGAAGAAGUAAUUCUUUAUGUAAAGCUCUAUCAGCAGGGAAGAAAAUGACGGUACCUGAGUAAGAAUCCCCGGCUAACUACGUGCCAGCAGCCGCGGUAAUACGUAGGGGGCAAGCGUUAUCCGGAUUUACUGGGUGUAAAGGGAGCGUAGACGGCAGUGCAAGUCUGGAGUGAAAGGCGGGGGCUCAACCCCCGGACUGCUCUGGAAACUGUAAGGCUGGAGUGCAGGAGAGGUAAGUGGAAUUCCUAGUGUAGCGGUGAAAUGCGUAGAUAUUAGGAGGAACACCAGUGGCGAAGGCGGCUUACUAGACUGUAACUGACGUUGAGGCUCGAAAGCGUGGGGAGCAAACAGGAUUAGAUACCCCAGUAGUC
rnacentral:rRNA from 1 species